rnacentral:rRNA from 1 species
GGGCCCGCACAAGCGGAGGAACAUGUGGUUUAAUUCGAUGAUACGCGAGGAACCUUACCCGGGCUCGAACGGUGUUUGAAUAAGUGUGAAAGCAUUUAGCCAGCAAUGGCAGACAUCGAGGUGCUGCAUGGUUGUCGUCAGCUCGUGCCGUGAGGUGUCGGCUUAAGUGCCAUAACGAGCGCAACCCUUAUCUUUAGUUACCAUCAGGUCAAGCUGGGGACUCUAGAGAGACUGCCACCGUAAGGUGAGAGGAAGGUGGGGAUGACGUCAAAUCAGCACGGCCCUUACGUCCGGGGCGACACACGUGUUACAAUGGGGGGGACAAAGGGUCGCUACUUGGCAACAAGAUGCUAAUCUCUAAACCCUCUCCCAGUUCGGAUCGGAGUCUGCAACUCGACUCCGUGAAGCUGGAUUCGCUAGUAAUCGCGCAUCAGCCAUGGCGCGGUGAAUACG